rnacentral:tRNA from 1 species
GCACUGAUGGUUUAGUGGUAGAAUGCUUGCUUCCCACGCUAGAGAUCCGGGUUCGAUUCCCGGUCAGUGCG